rnacentral:lncRNA from 1 species
UCCACCUUCAUAAAAGGCAUCACAGACCUGCUGGUUCACAGACUAACACAGCACAGAGAAGGAAGGUGCAAACACAAACCGAAGAUGAAAACGUUAUUCAAAAGGAUAAGUACGAGGAAACAGAACAAGCAAGAUGGACACAACCAGGCAGCUAAUGGGUACAACCCCACAGAUCAGAACACCUUCACCUCCAAGGUAGAACAGAUGAGUGUGGAGGAGUUCCCACUGCAGAAUCUGGCUGAACUUCUGGGUGUGACCGCUGAUGUCAGCCCCUCUGAGGAUGGAUCAUGCUCAGUGGAAUCUGAGUCUGAUUCAGCUCAGCAGAGGCAGAGAAAUGUUCGCCUCAUACAAGCAUCAGUGUCCCAGCACCUCCCAAAACCACCGUCGGAUCUGGACCAGAACCUUCAGCAGCACCUGGUCAAUGUGCAGAAGACUGUGCGCAAUGAGCUCAUGAGGCUGAGUCCCAGGCUGGAGAAAAUGGGUUUGAUUGGAUGUCUGAUUGAUUGCUACUAUCGUCAGACACUUGAUCACAUCAGUGAUCUAUUCAAUAAAGUCCAGUCCUGCAAGAAAUCCUUUGAGCUGAUGAAGUGGAUCCUGCAUCCUUAUCUGAGUCAGGAGCUGCUGAGUCAUCCUGACCUUGGUGACUUCCCGCUGUCGACAGAAUUGGUGGCAAAAGCAGAGAACCUACUGCUUGAAAAUGUGCCGGAAGAGGUCAGAAAAUGUCUGGAUGAAAUCCUGCUGAUUCACAUAAACCAAGAUGUCUGUGACAGUGAGGAAUCUUGCAUUGGACUUUACGUGGACAUUAUUCAGGUAGUCAAUGACAUGCCUGAAAAAGCUCAGCAAAUCAACCCAAAACUGUCUCAUGAUAUCCGAGAAGCUUGUUUCCAAGAGCUGAAGAUAUUUCUGGGGAGGUUCACCUCUGAGCAGACUAAGUUUCUCAGAGAAAAAGCCAAAAAGGCCAUACCAAACAAGAUACACUUCUUCAAGAUUCUGAAAACUUGUAAAGAAAUUAAGGAGUACGUCCAGACUAAAAGUGAAGGUAUUGAAGAUUCCCUUGUCAAGGAAAUUGAGACAACGCUUGAAAACAUGGAGGAUGUUACUUUGAAACUUCUGAUGGAAAUUGUUGCUGAAAUGGCAGAGAGGCACCUUCAGAAUUACUUUACAACCAAGCACAAGAGAUUCUUCUUGAUCCCUGAUGUACAGACGCAUUUCCCUGAGGUGUCGUGGUGUCCAGACGUGAAAAAGAGAGUGAUGGACGAGGCCUACAAGCUCAUCGCUCACACUUACCUCAAACAUCUUGUCCGAAGCAGCCAGAAGAAACUGAGAAAGUGCUGGAGUCCUGAUGUUGUACAAAAAGUCAUUGAAGAUGCGGAGCUUCUUCACGACACCAUCUCAGAACUGGCCCCUGGUGUUGAACAGUGGAAGCUCCCAGAGCUGCUGGAGGAUGAAAACAUCGACGCAGUGAAGAUCACAGUUGCGAGCAUGCAGCAUUCCUGCUACAAAGAGGAUGAGGAGCUCCUUUCCACACUGCUGGUAUGGAAGGGUCUCUCUAAAUCGCAGGCUCGGCAGGUGCUAGGUGCCCUUCCUGAACAUAAACCCAGACAGACUAACUUUUUAUCAGAGUGCCGCUGUUUAUGAUGAGCUUCUCCACAGAGGAUCAACAGCAACAAGCAGAGAAGAGGACAGAGCUGAUUUUCCAAAAUGUUCGCCCACUCAGUUUCUGCUUUCACUUUCUAAUCUAAAGAUAAAGAUAUGGUUUUAUAAGCUAUGAUUCAAAUUAUUAACAGGAUUUUAAUUUAAUUAAUUCUCAUUUCUUUAAUGCAAAAAAAUAGCUUUUUCUUUUACACGUUAAGGAUGCUUAUCUGUGCUUUGGUAGGUGAUGGUUUAUUUUGUUACUUCAGCUUUACAACAAGUUCCUUGAAGUACAUUUAACAAAACUCUUCUGAAUUAUACUUUGACUACAGAAUCUGUUCAGAACUUUAAACUUUAAAACUAUAGAGAAUCUAUAGUUUUAACCCUGGAGAUGUCACAAGAUUGAGAGGUGUUGUACAGCCUAAUGGAGACCCUAUUUUCUGUUAUCUAAUAGUUUUAUUUUUAUAUCAUGAUACCAACGUGUAUUGAUAGCUUUCUCUCUUUUUUAUUCCAUUUUAUAUUGUUUUUAUUAAAGUGCUUUCUCUCUUGUUUGAUAUGAUUUCAUAUUCUUAAUACUUUACUGACUCAGACAUGCAUUUGUUGUCAAAAGCUCUGUUGAAACUGAACUCUGGUCUUCAUGACAUUAAAAAGCCACUGUAACAAAAGAACAGCCCUGUAACCACAUAAAACCUCUUUUGAACGCUUCAGCAGGGUUAGGAGGCAUUUUGGCUCCACCCACUGGUGUUCUGACUCUUCUUGCAUCAAACAAAUACUUGAACUCCAAUGUGUCGAUUUGUUGGGAUUUGGGGGACUGCCUUGCUCUCCUGAACAUGGUAGUUAAGUUAAGUUGAAUACAGGAUAUUCCCCUUGGCUGGGGGGAAUAUUCCUGAGAGCUUUCACUCUUUCAAUGCCUUUUGUUCUCUGGAAUGGAAUUGUUGCUGUAAUCAUUAUCAGCCUGAGAAACAUAAAAGUUUAGACAAACUCACAGGUGAAAAAAAUAUAAUUAUAGCUCAUUUUAAAAGAUGAUGGAGCCUGUGUACCGUCUGACUUUCUGCAAAUUUCACAUGUUUUUUCAUGUUAGGAACACGACACACUCGUCCACACUGAGGUCAGCUCAGGUAAUUAAAGUAAACAGGUGUGAUCUCACUGAGGACACUGAGAACCAGUGGGUGUGUCCUCUCACUUGAAGCUCCAGCUCAUUUAUUGAAACAAGAGAAUGCACCAACAAUGAUAAACUCUCAAUUCUGAGAAGUGUCAAUCACUCUAGUGCACAUGCUGCUGGCAAAAUGACUUUUUAUCUGUCUGCUUGAUGAUAUUACAGGCAGCUCUUAUGCCUGGUAUAUUUUAUAUCAGCUUCUAAUAAAACUUUAUCAACCUCUCACUGAGCUGCUGCUAACUUCAUUAAUGUGAUAGGAGAUGAAGAGAAGCUAAACUGCUCAGACAUUAUUAAACACCACAUGGGCCCUGUUUCUAAAUCAGUGAUUCCCAAAAUAGGAAUAGAUAAUGAAGGAAAUGGAAGCCCUGGUCUCCAUUGCAAAAAAGG